rnacentral:tRNA from 1 species
UCCUCGAUAGCUCAGUUGGUAGAGCAAAUGACUGUUAAUCAUUGGGUCCCUGGUUCGAGCCCAGGUCGAGGAGCCA